AUUGAACGCUGGCGGCAUGCCUAACACAUGCAAGUCGAACGGUAGCAGGAGCUAGCUUGCUAGCUUGCUGGCGAGUGGCGGACGGGUGAGUAAUGCGUAGGAAUCUGCCCUUAAGUGGGGGAUAGCCCGGAGAAAUCCGGAUUAAUACCGCAUGUGCUCUACGGAGCAAAGCGGGCCUCUGUUUCAAGCUCGCGCUUGAGGAUGAGCCUACGUCGGAUUAGCUAGUUGGUGGGGUAAAGGCCUAACAAGGCGACGAUCCGUAACGGGUCUGAGAGGAUGACCAGCCACACUGGGACUGCGACACGGCCCAGACUCCUACGGGAGGCAGCAGUGGGGAAUAUUGGACAAUGGGCGAAAGCCUGAUCCAGCAAUGCCGCGUGUGUGAAGAAGGCCUGCGGGUUGUAAAGCACUUUUGUCGGGAAAGAAAAUCACAGGACUAAUACUUCUGUGCCUUGACGGUACCCGAAGAAUAAGCACCGGCUAACUCCGUGCCAGCCGCCGCCGUAAGAC
rnacentral:rRNA from 1 species